GAUGGUUUAGCUCAGUGGUAGAGCAGUUCUGUACCAUGAAUGUGACAUGGGUUCAACUCCCAUAGCUGUCA
rfam:Puccinia graminis f. sp. tritici CRL 75-36-700-3 supercont2.295 genomic scaffold, whole genome shotgun sequence.